GGCGCUGUGGCGCAGUGGUUAGAGUGUCAGAUUGCAAAGCGUGAGACUCGGGCUUCGAAUCCCCACCUGGUUG